rnacentral:rRNA from 1 species
CGGGGAAUUUUGGACAAUGGGCGCAAGCCUGAUCCAGCCAUGCCGCGUGAGUGAAGAAGGCCUUCGGGUUGUAAAGCUCUUUCAGUAGGAACGAAACGAUAGGCUCUAACAUAGCCUGUUACUUACGGUACCUACAGAAGAAGCACCGGCUAACUACGUGCCAGCAGCCGCGGUAAUACGUAGGGUGCGAGCGUUAAUCGGAAUUACUGGGCGUAAAGCGUGCGCAGGCGGUUUCUUAAGCCAGAUGUGAAAGCCCCGGGCUUAACCUGGGAAUUGCGUUUGGAACUGGGAGACUAGAGUGUGGCAGAGGGAGGUAGAAUUCCACGUGUAGCAGUGAAAUGCGUAGAGAUGUGGAGGAAUACCGAUGGCGAAGGCAGCCUCCUGGGCCAACGCUGACGCUCAUGCACGAAAGCGUGGGGAGCAAACAG